GAUGAACGCUGGCGGCGUGCCUAAUACAUGCCAGUCGAGCGAACGGACGAGAAGCUUGCUUCUCUGAUGUUAGCGGCGGACGGGUGAGUAACACGUGGAUAACCUACCUAUAAGACUGGGAUAACUUCGGGAAACCGUAGCUAAUACCGGAUAAUAUUUUGAACCGCAUGGUUCAAAAGUGAAAGACGGUCUUGCUGUCACUUAUAGAUGGAUCCGCGCUGCAUUAGCUAGUUGGCAAGGUAACGGCUUACCAAGGCAACGAUGCAUAGCCGACCUGAGAGGGUGAUCGGCCACACUGGAACUGAGACACGGUCCAGACUCCUACGGGAGGCAGCAGUAGGGAAUCUUCCGCAAUGGGCGAAAGCCUGACGGAGCAACGCCGCGUGAGUGAUGAAGGUCUUCGGAUCGUAAAACUCUGUUAUUAGGGAAGAACAUAUGUGUAAGUAACUGUGCACAUCUUGACGGUACCUAAUCAGAAAGCCACGGCUAACUACGUG
rnacentral:rRNA from 1 species